rnacentral:rRNA from 1 species
AGUGAGCGGCAAAGCUCAAAUUUGAAUCUGGUACCUUCGGUGCUCGAGUUGUAAUUUGGAGAGGGCAACUUUGGGGCCGUUCCUUGUCUAUGUUCCUUGGAACAGGACGUCAUAGAGGGUGAGAAUCCCGUGUGACGAGGAGUGCGGUUCUUUGUAAAGUGCCUUCGAAGAGUCGAGUUGUUUGGGAA